rnacentral:rRNA from 1 species
GACGAACGCUGGCGGCGUGCCUAACACAUGCAAGUCGAACGGUAAGGCCCUUCGGGGUACACGAGUGGCGAACGGGUGAGUAACACGUGGGUGAUCUGCCCUGCACUUCGGGAUAAGCCUGGGAAACUGGGUCUAAUACCGGAUAGGACCACUGCCUGCAUGGGUGGGGGUGGAAAGCUUUUGCGGUGUGGGAUGGGCCCGGGGCCUAUCAGCUUGGUGGUGGGGUGAUGGCCUACCAAGGCGACGACUGGUAGCCGGCCUGAGAGGGUGACCGGCCACACUGGGACUGAGAUACGGCCCAGACGCCGACGGGAGGCAGCAGUGGGGAAUAGUGCACAAUGGGCGCAAGCCUGAUGCAGCGACGCCGCGUGAGGGAUGACGGCCUUCGUGUUGUAAACCUCUUUCAGCACCGACGAAGCGCAAGUGACGGUAGGUGCAGAAGAAGGACCGGCCAACUACGUGCCAGCAGCCGCCGUAA